CCCCAUAGGAUAGGAGUCUUAAAUUACUCCGAGACUGAUAGGAAGGGACGAGUAACUGCAUGCAAUAGAGGACGAGACCAACUUUCGCUUUAAUUGCCUUUAUGAUGUGGGAAAUAGUAGAUAUGUAUAUGAUGUAUGCGCUAAUACCAUGUGUAUCCCCUCUUUUUAGGAGUGUCAUACUGGGUAUUGCAUUGAUGUGAUUCCUAUUAUAAAUAAACCUAGGACCCCUUUUACAUUCAUAACCAUGCUUAGAUUGUAGCUCUUUUCAAAACCUUGCUUUCAUUAAUCCUUUUCAAAUACUUGGGUACUUAAAUCCCCCUAUUAUUUGAGCCUUACUUGCUAAUUGCACAAAUUCACAAAAUACUGUCGGGCCGGGAACCAUACUAGUGGAUCCUAAGGGGUGCCUAACACCUUCCUCUUAGGAUAAUUUCAAUCUUUUACCCUAAAUAUAGUUAGAAAUGAACCCUAUAGGUGCCUUUAACACACUUUAAAACUCGUUAGGUGACGACUCUUCAAAAACGCAAUACCCAAUUUCCAAAAGGAAAUGAGUCAUUACACUCCAUGAAUGUCGAAACUCAGACUCCUAUCCGAGGAAAGGAAAAAGGGCAUGACAAUUUAUUAUUUUUAUCUAAUUUAGAUUAUUUAUUUGCUUAAGGAUUAGUGCCCUUUUAGUGUAGUAAAAUGUAGAACCUUUUAGCGUAGUAAAAUGCAGAGCUUUUUUGCAUAGAAAUAAUCCAUGCAGUUUAAGUAUCUUUUAUAUUGAUAGAUCAAAAAAUAACUAUGUCCAAUUAUAAUUUACAAAAAUUAAUUAUUUAAUAUAUAAAACAAAAGCACACAAUUAUAAAAAUAUUAAAAUUGACACACAUAAGAAUUCAAGAUAGCUUAGUGCUACUGGGCCACAAUAUCGAGCCUUAUAACCCAUAAGAAUAUGCUCUGUCUAAUUACAAUUUACAAAAAUUAAUUAUUUAAUUUACAAAAUAAAAACACAAAAUUAUAAAAGAAUAUUGAAACACGUAUAAAUUCAGGAUAGCUUGAUGCUACUAGGCAUCAAAUAUCGAGCCUAGAACCUAUAAGUAUAUACUCUGUCCAAUUACAAUUUACAAAAAUUAAUUAUUUAAUGUAUAAAACAAAAAUACAAAAUUAUAAAAAUAUUAAAUUUACACACAUAAGAAUUGGGAUAACUUGG
rnacentral:lncRNA from 1 species